rnacentral:tRNA from 1 species
GCGGGCGUAGUUCAAUGGUAGAACCUCAGCCUUCCACGCUGAUGAUGUGGGUUCGAUCCCCAUCGCCCGCU